rnacentral:rRNA from 1 species
UACGAAGGGGGCUAGCGUUGCUCGGAAUCACUGGGCGUAAAGCGCACGUAGGCGGAUUGCUAAGUCAGGGGUGAAAUCCUGGAGCUCAACUCCAGAACUGCCUUUGAUACUGGUGAUCUUGAGUCCGGGAGAGGUGAGUGGAACUGCGAGUGUAGAGGUGAAAUUCGUAGAUAUUCGCAAGAACACCAGUGGCGAAGGCGGCUCACUGGCCCGGUACUGACGCUGAGGUGAAGACGGAGGCAACAGGGAUAAGAAACCGUGGUA